GAUGAACGUUGGCGGUGUGCCUAAUACAUGCAAGUCGAACGGAGUUAAUAGCAAUAUUGACUUAGUGGCGAACGGGUGAGUAACGCGUUGGUGAUCUGCCUUGAAGUGUGGAAUAACGCUCCGAAAGGAGCGCUAAUACCGCAUGUGCUCUCAAUUUUUAGAAACUUGAGAGGAAAGGAUUUAUUCGCUUCGAGAGGAGCCUGCGUCCCAUCAGCUGGUUGGUAGGGUAAAGGCCUACCAAGGCAAUGACGGGUAGGGGACCUGAGAGGGUGGCCCCCCACAAUGGAACUGAAACACGGUCCAUACACCUACGGGUGGCCAGCAGUAGGGAAUAUUAGAAAUGGACGAAAGUCUGAUCUAGCAACACCGCGUGUGCGAAGAAGGCCUUGGGUCGUAAAGCACUUUUUGGAAGGAAUAGGAAGGAAUGUACUUCCAGAAUAAGUCUCGGCUAACUACGUG
rnacentral:rRNA from 1 species